UACAGGGGGGGCGAGCGUUGUUCGGAAUUACUGGGCGUAAAGGGUUUGUAGGUGGCUUGCUCAGUCAGACGUGAAAUCCCUCAGCUUAACUGGGGAACUGCGUCUGAUACUAGCGAGCUUGAGUGCAGGAGAGGAACGCGGAAUUCCAGGUGUAGCGGUGAAAUGCGUAGAUAUCAGGAGGAACACCGGUGGUGUAAAUGGCUUUCUGGACCAUAACUGACGCUGAGGCACGAAAGCGUGGGUAGCAAACAGG
rnacentral:rRNA from 1 species